rnacentral:rRNA from 1 species
UACAGAGGGUGCGAGCGUUGUUCGGAAUUACUGGGCGUAAAGCGCGCGCAGGCGGCCUUUUAAGUCUGACGGUGAAAUGCCGGGGCUCAACCCCGUGCCCGCCGCGGAUACUGGGAGGCUGGAGACAUGUAGAGGCAAGCGGAAUUCCGGGUGUAGUGGUGGAAUGCGUAGAGAUCCGGAGGAACACCAGUGGCGAAGGCGACUUCCUGGCCUGUUCUUGACGCUGAGGCGCGAAAGCUAGGGGAGCAAACGGG